AUGGAGAACAACGGCAAUCUUAUAUCCAGAGAGAAGAUCGAUCAGAUGGCUACCUGGCUGGGGUCCACCGUCUCCUCCGCUUUCUUCUCUUCCUUGGAACGCUUUUCCUGCGUCAACGUCGCUACUUCUGACCCUUACAACGACGAAGACGACGACGAUGAUUACUCCGUCAGCACAACCGCUACCACCGCCGUCAAUAAUCCUAAUACCUCCGUUCAGAACACAAACGACGUCGCCAACCUCCCUGUUUGA